rnacentral:rRNA from 1 species
UACGAAGGGGGCUAGCGUUGCUCGGAAUGACUGGGCGUAAAGGGCGCGUAGGCGGCUUGCACCGUCAGAUGUGAAAUUCCUGGGCUUAACCUGGGGGCUGCAUUUGAUACGUGUGGGCUUGAGUGCGGAAGAGGGUCGUGGAAUUCCCAGUGUAGAGGUGAAAUGUGUAGAGAUCGGGAGGAACACCGGUGGCGAAGGCGGGUCUCUGGGCAACUCCUGACGCUGAGGCGCGAAAGCGUGGGGAGCAAACGGG